UGCAUAUCAAUAAGCGGAGGAAAAGAAACCAACCGGGAUUGCCUCAGUAACGGCGAGUGAAGCGGCAAAAGCUCAAAUUUGAAAUCCCUCGGGAGUUGUAAUUUGCAGAGGGGAGUCUUGGAAAGGGUGCCGUCUAUGUUCCUUGGAACAGGACGUCGUAGAGGGUGAGAACCCCGUGCGGCGGCGGCCCGGACCACAAAGGCCCCCUCGACGAGUCGAGUUGUUUGGGAAUGCAGCUCCAAGUGGGUGGUAAAUUCCAUCUAAAGCUAAAUACUGGCGAGAGACCGAUAGCGAACAAGUACAGUGAUGGAAAGAUGAAAAGCACUUUGAAAAGAGAGUGAAACAGCACGUGAAAUUGUUGAAAGGGAAGGGUAUGCAAUCAGACCACUUUGGGCCAGCAUCAGUUUUGGUGGCGGGACAAGGGCUGCGGAACGUAGCUUCGGUGUUAUAGCCGCGGCCGAUGCCGCCCACCGGGACUGAGGACUGCGAAACUAGGAUGCUGGCAUAAUGAUUGCAUACCACCCGUCUUGAAACACGGACCA
rnacentral:rRNA from 1 species